GACGAACGCUGGCGGCGUGCUUAACACAUGCAAGUCGAACGGAAAGGCCCUGCUUUUGUGGGGUGCUCGAGUGGCGAACGGGUGAGUAACACGUGAGUAACCUGCCCUUGACUUUGGGAUAACUUCAGGAAACUGGGGCUAAUACCGGAUAGGAGCUCCUGCUGCAUGGUGGUGGUUGGAAAGUUUCGGCGGUUGGGGCUGGACUCGCGGCUUAUCAGCUGGUUGGUGGGGUAGUGGCUUACCAAGGCUUUGACGGGUAGCCGGCCUGAGAGGGUGACCGGCCACAUUGGGCCUGAGAUACGGCCCAGAAUCCUACGGGAGGCAGCAGGGGGGAGUAUGGCACAAUGGGCGGAAGCCUGAUGCAGCAACGCCGCGUGCGGGAUGACGGCCUUCGGGUUGUAAACAGCUUUCGCCUGUGACGAAGCGUGAGUGACGGUAAUGGGUAAAGAAGCACCGGCUAACUACGUG
rnacentral:rRNA from 1 species